UCUAAAUUGGACCUCAGAACGAGUGCUGGGAAUAGAAACAUUUAUGGUACAGAAAGUUUCAGGGUGCAUAGCAGUAGUGAAAUCUGGACGUUACAUUUUUUAUAGAACAGGAAAUCGUCAACUUUUCCCAACGCUGACACGUUGAGCCCAAAAGGAAACGGUACUUUACACUGUAAAAACAUGUAAAAAACAUUUGCACAACUGCAUAGACCAAAUGCAUUUAAGUCGAUCAGCCGUUUUCUCGUGUUUAUAUCGACCUUGUAUAAACUGACAAAUACAAACAGUAACAUUUACAGCCUCGGUAAUGUAU